AAGGGAGCGUAGGCGGCUGAUUAAGUCAGCGGUGAAAGGUAGCAGCUUAACUGUUUUACAUGCCGUUGAUACUGGUUAGCUUGAGUUGACAGAAGGCAGAUAGAAUUCCUGAUGUAGCGGUGAAAUGCUUAGAUAUCAGGAGGAAUACCGAUUGCGAAGGCAGUCUGCUGCAGUCACACUGACGCUGAGGCUCGAAGGUGCGGGGAUCAAACAGGAUUAGAUACCCGAGU
rnacentral:rRNA from 1 species